rnacentral:lncRNA from 1 species
UUUUUUUAGUGAAAAACGACUCCGGUAGCGAGUGAAACAGUGAGUCCUCUUUUGUUUUAAUUAAAAGAAUCACACAACCAAACAAAUGGAAAUAUAUUAAAACAUAUAAGAAUCGCAGACAAAAAACAUAGGAAAGUAAACAUGAAAUAAAAAUAGACAAGAAAUAGAGAUAGAACAUGUAGUCGACAGUACCCAUACCAAAGAAACGAAAAGAAAGAACAAAAUCCAAAAUUUUUUAAUCAAACAAGAUCUAAUAUAUAUAGAAUGACCUAAGUUUUCAUUCAAAAACAGUUUCCAAGGUAACUGUCAACAUCUAUUGGGGAAAGUUUUAAAUGACAUUGCAACGGUCAUCUAAGCAACGUUUGGGUGUACAUAGGCGCCGAAUUUUUUUUGGAAAAAUAAAUAAAUAGAUAGAGAAAGAUACUCAUACUAGCUUUCGAAAGCAAAACGUAGUAGGGAAAAACAAAAAAUACCAUCGUCGACUGUGAUGAAGAAACGUGAAUAAAAAAUAUCGGCGACAGAUAUGUAUGAAAACCUCCCGUCGACGACUACUAUGAGAGAGUGCUUCGAAAUCCAAUACGAGCGGACAGCGAGAUGAUGACGAAGACGUAUGCACAAAAGCGGAAGAAACGACGGACGAUGCCCAGACGACGCGCCGGGAAGUAGCUUCAAGAAUCGCCGGAACAAGGGUUUUAGGGGUUUGGAGGGUGAGCACAAAAAUAAAACCAAAUCUUUUUUAAAUGAUUUUUUUUUUGGCUAGUAGUAGAUGUCAGCAAUGCUACUAACUAAGCAGCUUUAAAGUAUGGUAGUACUUUUCUACUACUAAGCUAGCACUAGGAUACAAGUAGCUAUUUGCAAUUUUUUAAUUUAUUCCCAACAGGUUGCAUGCAACCGGUAACAACUUCAUCAAGUUGAUGCUUUAAAAAAUCGAUGGCCAAGAACGCUCCUUAAAACGAACGGACGAGAUGAUGAGAGAUUCCCAUAAGAACUGUUCUUAACUAUUAUACACCGUAUAAGCAAAUUCUAUUAUUGGUAGGUGUUGUCUUCCCAACAUCCAUUAAAAUCCAAUACACAUGCUUGAAGCAUAUAUUAUAACUUCUGGAUGGUCCAUUCUGAUUGUCCAUCCGUUUGUAGAUGAAAUUUGAAUUGGAGUUAUGACCUUAGUUCUUAUAUAAGCUCUCCAAAAAUUUAGCUUUCAAAUACUUUGAUUUUACACAAAAAAAAUCAAGUUUUAAUUCUUUUUAUCACUUCAUCAAUCAUGGUUAAGGUUCAUUGUCUAAAUGAUCAAAUUGAAUAGUACAUUUUAUGAUAUUAAUUUUCAAUGCAUUAAAAAAAUGAUUGAUUUAAAAAAAAAUUAUAGUAAUGACUAAUUAUGGAACAAAAUAGAAAAUAAAUUAUAUACAUAUUUUUGAAUAGUUAAAAAAAAUUAUAAUAAUUACCUUUAAAUAUAAUUUUAAUGUUGACAUAAAACUCCAUUUUUAAUCAGCAAAUACAAUCCGUAAAAAAAACAUUAUAAGAAUAAAAUACACAAUUUCGUUAAUAACUAAAAAUCCAAGAAAUGAAGGACCAACAAUGAUCCGUGUUUUUGUAAUUUUUUUAUGGAUAAAAUUGAUCAAUAUUUAAUGAUCGUAAAAUAUCAGAAAUUUUAAAUAAACUAAUGAUUCGAGAAAAACAUAUUGGUUGAAUUUAGGAGGAUUUGAUUUCAAAACAAAAGGUAAAGCAGAAAGAAUAAUACUUGUAAAUAUCAAAAUCUGUGAUUUUCAAUCUACAUAUACCUACCUAAAUGAUAGUUCAUGAUUGCAAAAUGCAAGGAUCAAAUUAUUUGUAUAUUUUAAAUGUAAACACGUACAGGUAACUGUUACAAAGAUAGAAAAAAUCCAAAUCGACAAACUGAUUAGCAUAUAAAACCACCAAAUCAAGGGAUUACAGGGGAUCGAUCCAACAUGACAGACAUAAACUACAUAUUCCCAAAAAGAAUCGCAAAAAAAAACUAAGAAAGAACAAACCACAACGUAUACAAUAAUCAGAAAAACUAAACAUUCGAUAGAGAAAACUAACCGUUGUAGUUCUUGGAGGACGAUGCUUGGAUGUUGUAAUCUGAAUGAUGGAUUCUGUAGGCAUGAUCUAACAGAAAAAAUCCAACUUAAAUCGGAGAAGCUUUUGAAGAAUGGAAACUUUGAACAAAAAUGACGGCAGUUGCUCACACACAUUUUAGUAUAAAAC